rnacentral:antisense_RNA from 1 species
GUAGGAGCUGCCGAAGGCUGCGAUCUUUUGAGAGGUUGGUUUUUCCAGGAUCAAAAGAUCGCAGCCUUCGGCAGCUCCUAC